rnacentral:misc_RNA from 1 species
GAAAUUCUUCUCUCUGUCUUUCCACUCUCUUCUCCUCUUUCCAGAAAUAUGAAAUUCUUGGCAUUGUAAUGGUGCUCUUCUCUUAUUAGAUCCCUUUGUUCUUACUUCCUGAAGAAUGAAGAGGAGAGAAGCAAAACUAACAACCACGGACAAUCCCUUUAGCACUCUCCUCCUCUUCCUCCUCAGGCUUCUAGUCGCCUCUUCUGUAACCCACAUCAGAUUGGACACCUCCGAUCACCGCUACUAGGAGGGUGACCAUGCUCCUCUCUGUGCCAACAAGGUUAACUUUUUCAGAACCCCAGUUCUUCCCACCACUGCAGCGAAGUCUUGGUCUACAUAAAUAAUUUUAAGGAAGCACAUGACGCUAAUGCAAUCCCCAAUAGUGUCAGCUUCAUUUUGCUUCCCCUAUAUAAUGAUGCAAAUUCUCUUGUUAGCAAAGGAAAAAGAAUUAAAGAAAAGUUGCCAAUUUUUGGUCACUUGACACAGAAAUGGCUGAAGGGCACACCCAAGGAACCCAAUGGGUGAACCCUCAGCAGGAAAUUCGGCAACCAGGGGAAACCAUCCAUGGUGGAAACACUGAAAUUGAGAACUUCCAAACAGGGAAUUAUGUUCAUGGAGGAAACAAUCAAGGAGAAAAUUACCAGGGAGGCAAUUUCCCACAAGUGGGGAUUGAAGGAGGUAAUGUCCAAGAUGGAAAUGGUGGACCAAACCUCCAACUUAGCAGCAUACCCCAAUGCACCUGGAACCUGCAAGGUUCCACCAUAAGGCCUCAAUCCUGCAGCCCUUUAUGUGUGAACCCCUAUUUCUGGGGAAAUCCUUCCUUGGUGAGCCCUAUAUGUGGUAACCCCUAUUUGAUGAACCCUUAUUAUUGGGUGAAUCCUCAGUGGGUGAACUUUCAAUGCGGCAACCCACAAUGUUGGCACCCACAAUGUAUAAACCAACAGAACGGGAAUGCCUUGAGACCCUCUUGGGCUCCUCAGCAAGGAGAAAGCAGCCAAGAAUCCCAUCUGGAGAACCCAGAAGAGGGAAAUUCUCAGGCAAGAAAUUUCCAAGGAGAAGCACAAAAUGUCACAGAAGGUAACAAAAAAGCUCAGAGUGGAUCUUGGGUUUAUCCAUCGUUCUUGGAACCUUCAUACAGAUGGAUCCUCCAUAAAGCUGACGUCGUUGGCCGCCAGUUAUCAAACUAUCUCCGGCAUCCUAACAUAUUAGACGUGUUACUAUAUUGGGGAUUGGCCUUGUGUGUUUGUUGGAUGGCCAUAUAUUUUUAUAGUCAUCUUAUGGGAGGUUUUCAUUUUGAAUUUAGAAUAAAAUGAGGUGUGAAAAAACACUUUGGUUUUCUUUAUCGGGCAGAUUAUUAGGUAAAUUGGAUGUAUAAGAAUUUAGUAUUCCUUACACUCUAUCAGCAUUUAUGUGG